UGGAAAUGAAAAGAGAUGUUUCUACGGAAAUACAAACGAAGAAGAAAAGCUUCGCUGAGUGACGGACUACUAACACAGCCAGCCUUGCUGCUGAAUUGAGCAGUUCAUGCAAGUAAUCAGAUCUGUGCUAUAAGAUUAUAGGCCAAGCAAAUUAAGAAACAGCCGAUAAACAAUAACCGGUGAGGCGGCCGCGGUUCUGAUUCAAUCUGGCCAACGUGGAAGGCUUGAGAGCGAGAUCGUCUCUGAAGCCUGGAGCUGCCGGCAUUGGCGU
rnacentral:lncRNA from 1 species